UUAAAUUAACUUCUGUUUCCCUGUAGA
rnacentral:piRNA from 1 species